AUUGAACGCUGGCGGCAGGCCUAACACAUGCAAGUCGAGCGAGCGGCGGACGGGUGAGUAAUGUCUGGGGAACUGCCUGAUAGAGGGGGAUAACUACUGGAAACGGUGGCUAAUACCGCAUACUAUCGGAUGUACCCAUAUGGGAUUAUCUAGUAGGUGGGGUAAUGGCUCACCUAGGCGACGAUCUCUAGCUGGUCUGAGAGGAUGAUCAGCCACACUGGAACUGAGACACGGCCCAGACUCCUACGGGAGGCAGCAGUGGGGAAUAUUGCACAAUGGGCGCAAGCCUGAUGCAGCCAUGCCGCGUGUAUGAAGAAGGCCUUAGGGUUGUAAAGCACUUUCAGCGAGGAGGCGUUACCCGCAGAAGAAGCACCGGCUAACUCCGUGCCAGCAGCCGCGGUAAUUC
rnacentral:rRNA from 1 species